ensembl:lncRNA
ACCGCCCCCUGCGGCCUGGCCGGGCCGCGGGGCCGCUCCGGCUGCCGGCCCGGCAGCGUGGAUUCCUCCCACGUACGUGUGGUGGCGAAGGUGGGAGAGGUCUCCGCUUUGCCCCAAAAUUCAGGGUGCAGUGUUGGGAACGGUACUUUACAAGCCGGAUUUUCAGGGGGACUCAACAGCCCCGCUGCCAUCGGGAUUGCAGAUGUUCGCAAACAUAACGCGACCACAGCCUUGCACCUGUUGAACAUCUGCUAAGUGCGCAGGACAGGGUUAGGGCCUGUUUCACCUCUGUCUGCAGUAACUGAGCGUGGAAGGACAGCAGGUUGGAAGAGCGCUGGCUCUCCCCGGGGAGUGAACAGUGACACGGUGUGUGUGGAUGAAGUGCUGCCGAGACACCCACAGCAGUUGUUCCACGCGGCAUAACUGUGUGCCAAAACUAUUCCUUGUGUGUCCUUCAAUCCCAGGAGUGAUUUGUGACAGGGAAGUCAUCCUGGAAGAUCGAUAGACCUGCUGCACACUUGAGCCAGUUGUUUUGUCUUCAUUAGGAAGGAUCCAAGUUCACUGAGCUCACCUAUGCUAGGAUUUUGGCAAAUAAACUUGUUACCACAUAGCCA